CUCACUGCUGGCACGGCAGCGGCCCCGCACCUGCCCGCGGCCCCUCCGCUGCUCCCGGCCCGCUCCGCUCCCUCCCUCCGCUGCUCCCGGUCCGGCCCGCUCCGCUCCGCUCCCUCCCUCCGCUGUUCCCGGUCCGGCCCGCUCCGCUCCCUCCCGCCGCUGCUCCCGGUCCGGCCCGCUCCGCUCCGCUCCCUCCCGCCGCUGCUCCCGGUCCGGCCCGCUCCGCUCCGCUCCCUCCCGCCGCUGCUCCCGCUCCGCUCCGCUCCGCUCCCUCCCGCAGCAGGAGCGGCCCCGGCCCGGUGCUUUACCUGCGCUCCGGGGGCUCCGCGGGGCCGGCCCGCGGCUCAUGGCGGUGCGGGAGGGACGGGCGUGAGCGGCAACUCCGAUCCAGCGCUGCUCUCAGCGUCCCGCGGCCAAACCCCAACUAAUCCUCCGCGGGGAGCCGGCUCCGCGGGCCGGGAGCGCGGGCCGCCGGGCGGGCAUCCUUCACGGGGCCGCCGAGCUCCUUCCCCGCUCCCGCAAGAUGGUUCCCGGCAGGAGCGAGGCGUGCGGGGAGCGCGGAGCUGGCGCUACGCGAGCGGCAGCAGGACAAAGAAAACCAUGUGCGGCGGCGGCCGGGGGCAGCGGCGGCACCUCCGGCUGCGGGGCGGUGCGGGGCGGUGCGGCCGCGGCGCCUCCUCCCUCCCUCCGCGGCUCCAGCGCCGGCGGCUGCGCGUCCCUUCCUUCGGGCGGCUUUUUGGGUUCCCUUCCGCCGUUUGCCGGGGCGUUUGGGGGGGGUUGAUUGUUUUUGUUUUGCUUAAAAAGUCAUGCCCGUCCUCUCCCGAGCCAAAGCGGGCUCCCGCCGGGCGCCGUCCCUCCCGUCGCGGCUGCGCUCAGGUGAAUUCCAUGGGGGAGAGGCGGCGGCCCGGCCCCGGCCCCUCCGAAACAGCCUCGCAAGCCUGUAAUCCCCGCGGGGCGGCCGCUCCGCUCCGCCCGGCCCGGCUGCAGCCGCCGGCCGGACCCCUCUCGCCGCCCGGCUCCGCUCCGCACUGCGCG
rnacentral:lncRNA from 1 species